GGGCACUUUCCAUACAUGGAAGAAACCCUUGAAGGUAUGCACAGGGUCAUCACCACCACAAUGUGUCCCAUUCCCUACCAUCUGUCAAAACCCUGUUAUUUCAUCAUUGCCUGACUACUCAUGGUCCCUAUCUGGUACCGAUUCACAAUCUGUCAGCUUGUGGAAAGAGCAUGGCUGGGCCCAAUUCAAGAACAUGUACUGCCUGCCACCAAAGAAAUCCUGCCCAAGGUCGUGGAGACCAUGUGCACCAUCGGCUAUACAUGUGAGGAGAUUGUUUCAUCCCUAACUCACAGGCAAGAAGAUAAUCAUGUAACAGCUACUUGCAACAUUAUCAAAUAUCAGCUGAGUGGUGGAGGCAGCCAUCAGCAAGAGCAGAUGCCCUGGUUAACCAACAGCCCUGCAGUUCCUGUUCGCCUCCCUCUCCCCUUGAAGAGAGCCAGUGAACCAGCAUUUACAACCAGUACACAUGCUGGGAAGGGUCACUUUAAGGAGGAGGGUGAGAAGGAAAGAGGUAAAGGAUGUAGAAGCUACACCAUGCCUCACAGAUCCUCCUUCCUGGAGGUGCUGUCCUCUUCAGACAACACAGUCCCAGAAAGAGAUGCUCUUAUGGCUGAUGUCAUCAACACUGCUACAGAGGACACUGAAGUCAAGAAGAAUUCUGUUGACUCCCUGCCUGGCAAUCUCUCCUCCCCUGAAUCAUUCUUGGAUGAAACAUCCACAGGAUUUCUGAACCUGGGCUUCUGUGAAGAAGAUUCAUCCCAGGAACCAGACAUUCCCAGUGACCAGCCCCAGGUGGCACCCACAACAUCUGGAUUCAGGUCAUUCAGGGUCUGGAAGCUGGUGAGGAAGCAAAUUUCCCAUGCACUGAGAGCACUGUGCAGCUGCUGCUGCUGCUGCCUGCCCACCCCAAGUGUGGAAACUGAAGUGGCCCAAUAGAAUUCCAGACCUGGUGAGGAGUGACUGCCACAGAAGUGAGCCAGAACUCAUCUCCAGUGUGCCAGGUCCCUCCAACCAAGGGCAACAGGCUCCUGCCUGCAUUCAUCCUCCAGCUAUUGGGUCUGAGCUGCCACUUUGCAUCUCUUUUAGCUUAAUCCAGCUUCAGAACUGUUGUGGGACAAUUGGGGUUCAUAAAGCACAUGGACCCCAUGACCCUCUACCUUCCUAGCUUUGGUUGUACUUGUAGGACCACUCACACUGCAUGGAAAACAGCAACCUCUACCACCAGGAAUGACUUCAUACGAAUCUAGGCUGCUCAACAUCUUGGUCACUUUAACCCCUCCAACUUACUCUGAGACUGCCUUUUGGACAAAACAGCAAGACCUGUGUAAAUCCUCUGGAAAAUGGAGAGCUGGGGUACAGCAGGAGAAAAAUGCAGCACUAUUGGUCAGUGGAGUCCCAUCCUCCUCAGUGCUGACUUCAGGGAUUGAAGUGAAGGUUCUUUCAUCCAGGAUGGACUACAAACAGCAGCAAAGUCCAAAUCUAACCUUCAGAAUAGAAGUCUAUGUCCACCAGUGAACAGCUACCUGGAGGAUCCCCACUGCAGUCCAGGCACAAAUCCCAUGAGUUCAACCUGACCAACCAGGAGCGUCCAGAUUGGCUACCUGCUCUAAUUGAUUGAGUUCUUUCCAUUUGAGCCUUGAGAUCACAGCUGAGGACUCAAGGAGUCACAGGGG